UUGGCUUGUGAGAAUCAACAUUGAAGCUGGAAAAAAUGAUGGCAUCCGAACAAGUAGACACAGCCCUAGUCAAGGCAAUAAACUACACUAAAGACAGAGGAGAAAGACUCAAAGUUGUUCUAACAUCUGACAGCCAGCCAACAAACAGCCAGACUCGUGAGCCCAACCAAGAUCAGAAGAAGCAUCCCACGGAGCAUAGUCUAAAUUGCUAACAUGCAAAUGCAUGACCACAGCAAGGUAAUCUUACAGCCCAGGACUCAGCUGCUGCAAUCUCUGUGAAAGGUAUUUAUGCCUAAUGCUGAUGCCACCAUGAAGCCCAGGAAACAGUUUACAGGGAAUGGGCUGUUCUGAGACCCCACAGCCAUGAAUCACCUAAUCAUUCUGACAGAUUUCUGCAGAUGCUGUGCUCAGGUCACUGAGUUUCCCAGUUGUCAAUGGUGAACUGGAGCGGAGGCAGAAGGAAACUCUUCAGACACACUGUUCCCUUCAGGAAACAAGGGACAAAAGGGCUGCCCUGAGGAGACUUGGGAAAGUGACAUUUCCUCAGGCUUGAGGACAUCCCGAGGUGACUUUCCAAAACACUGGGAUAAAUUGGCCUGAUUGUUUAUUUUCCUCAGCUCGCUUUAGAAAAAAAAAAAAAAAAAUGUCCAUCUGUCCUUUGAUAUCAAUAAAAAGAGCAUUUGAGAUUAUUAAAAACACUGAUAGAGAUUUGUUUGGGAGAACAGAAAAUCGUGCCAUCAUUGAAAAUGGCAACACACACAACCUUCUAUGUGGCCAUUUCUCUGCCUCGGUACUUCCAGGCUGAAUUUCUUGUCAGCUCCAGCUUCUCGCCACUUUGUUCUCAGGGAAAAAAACUCAGGAACUAUCCAUUCCCAUGCAGUUAAAUGAAAACUUCCCAAGAUGCCAUUCAUCUUGAGUCUGGAAGCAAAAUGUAAACAUGUUUCAUAAGGACUAUUUUGCCGACACCCUAUAAUCUGGUUUAUGACACUGCUUUGUCAAGAGGCAAAGGUUUAUUCCCUCCUUUUCAAAUGAAUUGGAGAUGUUCUAAGUCAGUGGUUCUUGAAAUGUGGUCCCUGGACCGGCAGUAUCAGCAUCACCAGGGAACUUGUUACAAGUGCAAAUUCUCAGCCAGGGGCAGUGACACGCAGCAUAGCAAGACCCUGUCUCAAAAAAAAAAAAAAAAAAAAAGAAAGAAAGAAAAGAAAAUCCUCUGACUCCAGCCUAGACCUACAUAAUCAAAAAUCCUAGGGGUGUGCCCAGUAAUCUGUGUUUUAACAAGUUCCCUAAUGCAGUUUCGGAAAUGCUGUUUUGAAGAACCAAGAAGCUAGGGUCUCUCAGUUCAGGAUUGAAUUCAGCUUUGAUUAAAAACUAUCAAAAUAACAGUGACUUAAACAAAGUAGAAGUUCAUUUCUCUAACACAUAAAAGAAGUCCAAAGAUAGAUGUUCAGGGCUAGUAUGAAGGCUCCAUGGUGACAGAGGAAACCCAAGUUUUUUCUAUUUUUCCGCUCUGCCAUCCUUUAUGUAUGGUUUUUUAUUUCAAGCUGGUUUCAUGGUUCAAAAUGGCUACAGGAGCACCAACCAUUACAUCUCUGUUCCAGGCAGAAAGCAGAAGUUGGGUGAUAGAGCAAGCAAGUAGGGUCUACUCCUGCUGUUUGUAUCCCUCUGCAGGAAUUUUCUCAACAGUCUCACCUAACAAUUCCAUUUAUAUUUUUGGCUACCUAUAGUUGUUAAGAGAAGCUUAGAAAUACGGUCUUUUAUCUUAAAUUAAAAUUGUCAUUAUUGAUAGGUAACUCACUUUCUCUGCCACCAUGAUUCCAGACCCUCUUCCAUAUAAAUAAGCAUAAUUCCAAAUAUAAAGCGAGGUUAAACUCUUAUAUCCCAAGGAAGUAUC